AGAUGCUGACGAGCGGCGGACGGGUGAGUAAUGCAUAGGAAUCUGCCCGGUAGUGGGGGAUAACCUGGGGAAACCCAGGCUAAUACCGCAUACGUCCUACGGGAGAAAGGGGGCUCCGGCUCCCGCUAUUGGAUGAGCCUAUGUCGGAUUAGCUGGUUGGUGAGGUAAUGGCUCACCAAGGCGACGAUCCGUAGCUGGUCUGAGAGGAUGAUCAGCCACAUCGGGACUGAGACACGGCCCGAACUCCUACGGGAGGCAGCAGUGGGGAAUAUUGGACAAUGGGGGCAACCCUGAUCCAGCCAUGCCGCGUGUGUGAAGAAGGCCCUCGGGUUGUAAAGCACUUUCAGCGAGGAAGAACGCCUGGUGGUUAAUACCCAUCAGGAAAGACAUCACUCGCAGAAGAAGCACCGGCUAACUCCGUGCCAGCAGCCGCGGUAAUACGGAGGGUGCAAGCGUUAAUCGGAAUUACUGGGCGUAAAGCGCGCGUAGGUGGCUUGAUAAGCCGGUUGUGAAAGCCCCGGGCUCAACCUGGGAACGGCAUCCGGAACUGUCAAGCUAGAGUACAGGAGAGGAAGGUAGAAUUCCCGGUGUAGCGGUGAAAUGCGUAGAGAUCGGGAGGAAUACCAGUGGCGAAGGCGGCCUUCUGGACUGAUACUGACACUGAGGUGCGAAAGCGUGGGUAGCAAACAGGAUUAGAUACCCUGGUAGUCCACGCCGUAAACGAUGUCGACCAGCCGUUGGGUGCCUAGCGCACUUUGUGGCGAAGUUAACGCGAUAAGUCGACCGCCUGGGGAGUACGGCCGCAAGGUUAAAACUCAAAUGAAUUGACGGGGGCCCGCACAAGCGGUGGAGCAUGUGGUUUAAUUCGAUGCAACGCGAAGAACCUUACCUACCCUUGACAUCCUGCGAACCCGG
rnacentral:rRNA from 1 species